CAUUAUUGAAUAAGUUGACAAGGCUGUAGCUGGCUCCAUAGGAGCAUGUGCACGCCUUUCAUACUCAUCUCAACCACCUGUGCACCCUUUGUAGACCUGGAGAAAAAGUCUUUCGAGGCAACUUGGAAGAACUGUUGGAGGGUCUGCUGGCUUUUUAUCAAAGUCGGCUUCCCUUGCUUUUUUUGUUCAGCGUCUAUGUUUUUCAUUACACCCAAUAGAAUGUUAUAGAAUGUCAUUUGAUGGGCCUGUUAUAAAACAACGGCGUCCUUUAAAACUAUACAACUUUCAACAACGGAUCUCUUGGCUCUCGCAUCGAUGAAGAACGCAGCGAAAUGCGAUAAGUAAUGUGAAUUGCAGAAUUCAGUGAAUCAUCGAAUCUUUGAACGCACCUUGCGCUCCUUGGUAUUCCGAGGAGCAUGCCUGUUUGAGUGUCAUUAAAUUCUCAACCUCUUCAGUUUUUGUUAGUUGAAGGUGGAUUGGACUUUGGGGGCUUGCGGGCUUUUUUCUUUAUGAAAGUCGGCUCCUCUUAAAUGCAUUAGCGAAAACCUUUGUGGACCGUCUUUUGGUGUGAUAAUUAUCUACGCCAUUGCCGCGAAGCAGUUCAUUUUACAAUGGGGUUUCAGCUUCAAACCGUCCCAGAUGGGACUACACUUCAUUGACAUUUUGACCUCAAAUCAGGUAGGACUACCC
rnacentral:rRNA from 1 species